AUGGAUAUAAAUCCUAAGGUACUAUGCUGGAACGUGCGGGGACUGAACAACCCUGCGAAGAGGAAAGCGGUGAGGGAGUUUAUCACUUCGGCUAGGGUGAAUCUUGUGUGUUUACAAGAAACAAAACUCGAUGUAGUCGAUCGUUUCCUCGUGAUGCAAUUUAUUGGACCAUCACUAGAUGGCUUUGAUUACCUUCCGGCUAGUGAUACUCGCGGUGGAAUCAUA
rnacentral:rRNA from 1 species